GACGAACGCUGGCGGCGUGCUUAACACAUGCCAGUCGAACGGAAAGGCCCUGCUUUUGUGGGGUGCUCGAGUGGCGAACGGGUGAGUAACACGUGAGUAACCUGCCCUUGACUUUGGGAUAACUUCAGGAAACUGGGGCUAAUACCGGAUAGGAGCUCCUGCUGCAUGGUGGGGGUUGGAAAGUUUCGGCGGUUGGGGAUGGACUCGCGGCUUAUCAGCUUGUUGGUGGGGUAGUGGCUUACCAAGGCUUUGACGGGUAGCCGGCCUGAGAGGGUGACCGGCCACAUUGGGACUGAGAUACGGCCCAGACUCGUACGGGAGGCAGCAGUGGGGAAUAUUGCACAAUGGGCGGAAGCGUGAUGCAGCAACGCCGCGUGCGGGAUGACGGCCUUCGGGUUGUAAACCGCUUUCGCCUGUGACGAAGCGUGAGUGACGGUAAUGGGUAAAGAAGCACCGGCUAACUACGUG
rnacentral:rRNA from 1 species